GUCUGGACGGUGUGUUCCAGGCCCAGCCUAAGGGCCUGUUUCAAAGGUCACCCCUGUGGUAUCUCAAACCAGCUUGGGCUCUGCGACAUGUAGGAUGGAAAUGGCCCAAGGCCCAGCAUGUACACCAGACAGAGGCAGUUCAGGGGGAAGUACAAGUACAAAUUGCGUUGUCUUCUUCCCUGCUGGCCUGCCUGACUACUCUGCUACUUGACAGAAUCCAGUGCACCUCCUCCAGACACUCACCAAGCAGCUGGGGAGUGUCCUGCCACCUCGGCCAUCCUAGUCCAUCCUGUCAAUGUGAAACACCUGCUCAGCUCUUCACUGAGGAGGAUGAACCUAAUGUUUUCUGGUUUUUUUAAAAAAAAUAUGGUUGUUUGUUUUGGGCUCCAGCUUCCUGCAGUAUCAGUUUCUGUCAGACCAGUUUGUUAAAAAAGCACUUUGAGUAAAUACCAGAG
rnacentral:lncRNA from 1 species